rnacentral:rRNA from 1 species
AGUCGAGCGAAGCACUUUUGAUGAUUCUUCGGAUGAUUCAUUUGUGACUGAGCGGCGGACGGGUGAGUAACGCGUGAGUAACCUGCCUCAUACAGGGGAAUAACAGUUAGAAAUGACUGCUAAUGCCGCAUAAGCGCACAGGGCCACAUGGCCUGGUGUGAAAAACUCCGGUGGUAUGAGAUGGACUCGCGUCUGAUUAGCUGGUUGGUGAGGUAACGGCCCACCAAGGCGACGAUCAGUAGCCGGCCUGAGAGGGUGAACGGCCACAUUGGGACUGAGACACGGCCCAAACUCCUACGGGAGGCAGCAGUGGGGAAUAUUGCACAAUGGGGGAAACCCUGAUGCAGCGACGCCGCGUGAGUGAAGAAGUAUUUCGGUAUGUAAAGCUCUAUCAGCAGGGAAGAAAAUGACGGUACCUGACUAAGAAGCCCCGGCUAACUACGUGCCAGCAGCCGCGGUAAUACGUAGGGGGCAAGCGUUAUCCGGAUUUACUGGGUGUAAAGGGAGCGUAGACGGCUUUGCAAGUCUGACGUGAAAAUCCGGGGCUCAACCCCGGAACUGCGUUGGAAACUGUGAGGCUUGAGUGCCGGAGAGGUAAGCGGAAUUCCUAGUGUAGCGGUGAAAUGCGUAGAUAUUAGGAGGAACACCAGUGGCGAAGGCGGCUUACUGGACGGCAACUGACGUUGAGGCUCGAAAGCGUGGGGAGCAAACAGGAUUA